rnacentral:rRNA from 1 species
AGCAGUCGCCGCGGUAAUACGUAGGUCCCGAGCGUUGUCCGGAUUUAUUGGGCGUAAAGGGAGCGCAGGCGGUUUAGUAAGUCUGAAGUUAAAGGCAUUGGCUCAACCAAUGUAUGCUUUGGAAACUGUUAGACUUGAGUGCAGAAGGGGAGAGUGGAAUUCCAUGUGUAGCGGUGAAAUGCGUAGAUAUAUGGAGGAGCACCGGUGGCGAAAGCGGCUCUCUGGUCUGUCACUGACGCUGAGGCUCGAAAGCGUGGGUAGCGAACAGGAUUAGAUACCCCUGUAGUCCCUGUCUCUUAUACA